AGGGCGGGGGGUAGGACUAGCGAGGAUUCCCUCAGUACGGCGAGUGAACCGGGAUCAGCCCAGCACCGAAUCCCCCCGCCUGUGACGCGGCUGGAUUGUUGUGUUCGGGACCACCCCUUUUGUGGGAUGGACCCCCGAGUCCCCCCGACAAGGGCUGCUCCCCUCCCGGCUUAUGGGCUCUACAUUUGCCGGUCGGCCGGCCCAGAGAGUCCUAGGUCUUGGGUUGUUUGAGAUUGCAGCCCAAUGCAGUUUGUAUAAAGCCACAAAGGCGGGAAACUGCCCAUUAUCCAAAUAGCCACCAGUGUCGUCCGGGAAAGAACAACCCCCUUGAAUAAAGAAUUCAAAUAUGCGUUGAACCGUAUUGUCCGAAAGUGAAGAUUCGAAAUCUCCGGCCUGGAUUUAAUAUUCUGCUGCUCGCCACCGUUCCUGGCGCGCGACCUCCGUAGCGCGCGUGCUUCGCGUCUGG
rnacentral:rRNA from 1 species